ensembl:lncRNA
UUGCAGACAAAUCACAGUACAGCCUUUAAAAUGUGUUCCAACCAUAGAAUUAGAAUGAUUAUCAUUCUAGUUCUAUAGUUCCAGCCUUGGUAGUUAUGGUAACGUUUCCUUUUCCAUAACAUAACAGUAGGUUCUGUGCCAUAUAACUGUACCAUAGAAGACAUUGGUUGUACCAAAUGGGGUAAAACAGGUUCAGUCACCCUAUUCCUGGAGGGGUAGCUAGAUGGGAUGUGAAUGGUUGUGGAAAGGGUUUGGGGUCAACUUUCUCAUUUUGUCCUAUUUUCUACACCAACAAAUAUAAUCAUCAUCAUCAUCAUCGCCCUCUUACUGAAAACACACUUCAUUUUUUUGCUUUUCACAUUCUCUCUCUUUUCGAAACAAAAAGUCAAGCUCGUUUUUAUUUCUCCACUAACAUUUUGGAGAGGUAAGGAGAGAAAGAGGAGGAGGAAGGAGGCAGUAUAAUGCUCAGGUGAGUACCAAAAAAAGAAAAAGAAAACCCAGGUCACACAAUCGAUAGGGGCUCUAACACCUCCUCCUCCCUUCGUCCAUCUCUCCCUCCCUCUACACCCCUACAGUGGGUUAACUACCUAAACGGCUGGCAGAGAUACACAACAGUCCUCUAGGGCUGACUGCGUCCAGCCUUUCAGAAGGGAGAGGAGGAAAUAAGUGGAAUACAAAAAACCCAUGGCACACUUCAGAGUCAAAAUACGUUCCAUUCAGUGGAUUUCAGUCCGCUAAGAUGAAGUCUGCAGUGAACACUAAUCUGUACGUAUCUGUACGUAUAAAAGUAAAACACUGAAGGGAAAAUCAGAUGAUGAAGAGGAAAGGCCUUCAGCUUUACGACAGAUGAAGAGGAAAGGCCUUCAGCUUUACGACAGAUGAUGAAGAGGAAAGGCCUUCAGCUUUACGACAGAUGAAGAGGAAAGGCCUUCAGCUUUACGACAGAUGAUGAAGAGGAAAGGCCUUCAGCUUUACGACAGAUAAAGAGGAAAGGCCUUCAGCUUUACGACAGAUGAUGAAGAGGAAACAGAUGAAGAGGAAAGGCCUUCAGCUUUACGACAGAUGAUAAAGAGGAAACGCCUUCAGCUUUACGACAGGCGUUCCGUCACUCCUCCUCGGUUCUCAAGUUGUGUGCCAACACUUGUCUUUUUGAACUUCUUUCCUGUCAGAAAAUGAAACCGAUGAGUCUCGUUGUGUGGUGAGAGUUGAUGGUGGAAAUGUGGGUUGUUUUUGGCAAGAUGCAACAAAACAAAACCUGUGUGACGUGUUAAGGGCAGCCGUUGUGUCGAGGCGAACAAAGCCACCUUGGACAGAACGUAUUGCACCUGACCCUAACCAUUACCAUAACCCUCACCCCGACCCUCACCCUGACCCUAAGGGCAGCCGUUGUGUCGAGGCGAACAAAGCCACCUUGGACAGAAC